CUACUCUUCAUGUCUCCCUUUUCUCAAUUUCGAGCUCAGAAACUUUAAGGGAGAUUCACAGAGAAGAAUAGAAGACGAAACCGAAACCAAAAGCUGGACUCUUUAAAUGGAUAGAAAAUGAAGAACGUGCAGAAUGAGGAGAAUA